ACUCCUACGGGAGGCAGCAGUAAGGAAUAUUGGACAAUGGGCGGAAGCCUGAUCCAGCCAUCCCGCGUGCAGGAUGACGGCCCUAUGGGUUGUAAACUGCUUUUAUGAGAGAAGAAACGCCUUGAUUUAUUAGGGUCUGACGGUAUCUCAUGAAUAAGCACCGGCUAACUCCGUGCCAGCAGCCGCGGUAAUACGGAGGGUGCAAGCGUUAUCCGGAAUCACUGGGUUUAAAGGGUGCGUAGGCGGUUAGAUAAGUCAGAGGUGAAAGGUUGUCGCUUAACGAUAAAAUUGCCUUUGAUACUGUUUAACUUGAAUCAGAAUGAGGUUGGCGGAAUGUGACAUGUAGCGGUGAAAUGCAUAGAUAUGUCAUGGAACACCGAUUGCGAAGGCAGCUGACUGGCACUUGAUUGACGCUGAGGCACGAAAGCGUGGGAGCGAACAGGAUUAGAUACCCCUGGUAGACUGUCA
rnacentral:rRNA from 1 species